CCGGCGACCGGCGCACGGGUGAGUAACACGUAUGCAACCUGCCCGUGGCAGGGGGAUAAGCGGGGGAGACCCCGUCUAAUACCGCGUAACGCGGCCUUGGGGCAUCCCAAGGCCGCCAAAGGGAGCAAUCCCGGCCACGGAUGGGCAUGCGGCGCAUUAGCUAGUCGGCGGGGUAACGGCCCACCGAGGCGACGAUGCGUAGGGGUUCUGAGAGGAAGGCCCCCCACACUGGUACUGAGACACGGACCAGACUCCUACGGAAGGCAGCAG
rnacentral:rRNA from 1 species